UACAGAGGGGGCAAGCGUUGUUCGGAAUUACUGGGCGUAAAGGGCGCGUAGGCGCCCGCUAAGUCGAACGUGAAAUCCCCGAGCUCAACUCGGGAACUGCGUCCGAUACUGGCGGGCUUGAAUCCGGGAGAGGGAUGCGGAAUUCCAGGUGUAGCGGUGAAAUGCGUAGAUAUCUGGAGGAACACCGGUGGCGAAGGCGGCAUCCUGGACCGGCAUGACGCUGAGGCGCGAAAGCUAGGGGAGCAAACAGG
rnacentral:rRNA from 1 species